rnacentral:rRNA from 1 species
CCUACGGGAGGCAGCAGUGGGGGAUAUUGCACAAUGGGGGAAACCCUGAAGCAGCGACGCCGCGUGGGCGAAGAAGUAUUUCGGUAUGUAAAGCCCUAUCAGCAGGGAAGAAGAAAUGACGGUACCGGAGUAAGAAGCACCGGCUAAAUACGGGCCAGCAGCCGCGGUAAUACGUAUGGUGCAAGCGUUAUCCGGAUUUACGGGGUGUAAGGGGAGCGCAGGCGGGACGGCAAGCCUGAUGUGAAAGCCAGCGGUCCAACCGGGGGACUGCCUUGGGAACUGCCGGGCUGGAGUGCCGGUGAGGUAGGCGGCAUUCCUGGUGUAGCGGUGAAAUGCGUAGAUAUUAGGAGGAACACCAGUUGCGAAGGCGGCCUACUGGACGGUGACUGACGCUGAGGCUCGAAAGCGUGGGGAGCAAACAGGAUUAGAUACCCUUGUAGUC